UUCUAAUCUUGAAGCCUUUCCUGUAAGAA
rnacentral:piRNA from 1 species